UACGGAGGGUGCAAGCAUUAAUCGGAAUUAUUGGGCGUAAAGGGCGCGUAGGCGGAAAUGUAAGUCAGAUGUGAAAUCCCGGGGCUCAACCCCGGAACCGCAUUUGAAACUGCAUUUCUCGAGGAUAGGAGGAGAAAAUGGAAUUCCACAAGUAGCGGUAAAAUGCGUAGAUAUGUGGAAGAACACCAGUGGCGAAGGCGAUUUUCUAUCUUAUUCCUGACGCUGAGGCGCGAAAGCAAGGGGAUCAAACAG
rnacentral:rRNA from 1 species